rnacentral:rRNA from 1 species
GUGCCAGGAGCCGCGGUAAUACGUAGGUGGCAAGCGUUGUCCGGAAUUAUUGGGCGUAAAGCGCGCGCAGGCGGUUUCUUAAGUCUGAUGUGAAAGCCCACGGCUCAACCGUGGAGGGUCAUUGGAAACUGGGGAACUUGAGUGCAGAAGAGGAGAGCGGAAUUCCACGUGUAGCGGUGAAAUGCGUAGAGAUGUGGAGGAACACCAGUGGCGAAGGCGGCUCUCUGGUCUGUAACUGACGCUGAGGCGCGAAAGCGUGGGGAGCAAACAGGAUUAGAAACCCCGGUAGUCC